rnacentral:rRNA from 1 species
GACGAACGCUGGCGGCGUGCUUAACACAUGCAAGUCGAACGGAAAGGCUCCAGCUUGCUGGAGUACUCGAGUGGCGAACGGGUGAGUAACACGUGGGUGAUCCGCCCUGCACUUCGGGAUAAGCCUGGGAAACUGGGUCUAAUACCGGAUAGGACCGCACUUUGGUGUGUGUGGUGGAAAGGUUUUUCUGGUGUGGGAUGAGCUCGCGGCCUAUCAGUUUGUUGGUGGGGUAAUGGCCUACCAAGACGGCGACGGGUAGCAGGCCUGAGAGGGUGGACGGUCACAUUGGGACUGAGAUACGGCCCAGACUCCUACGGGAGGCAGCAGUGGGGAAUAUUGCACAAUGGGGGAAACCCUGAUGCAGCGACGCCGCGUGGGGGAUGAAGGCCUUCGGGUUGUAAACUCCUUUCGCUAGGGACGAAGCUUUUUGUGACGGUACCUGGAGAAGAAGCACCGGCUAACUACGUG